rnacentral:rRNA from 1 species
AUGAGACAACUACUCCAUUGUCUUGAUCUCCCGUGGAUUUCUUUAGACGACCUUAAUGAAAUACAGUUCUUGCACGAGAAAGGAGGCGGGAAUCCACGCCCAUCUCAUUAUAUGCAAGCCUUCCAGAGAGCUAUCGAUGAUUGCGAGCUGCAAGACUUGGGGUUUAUUGGGGACACCUUCACGUGGCAUACAGGGCGAACUAGAGAGAGGUUGGAUAGGGGACUUGUUAAUGAUGCUUGGAAGACACUCUUCCCCAAUGCGCCGUUGGAAAAUAUGGAGUACCACCAUUCUGAUCAUCGACCAUUGUGUGUAAAUAUUGAAUAUUAUAACCAACUCGUAGCACCAAACAAUGGACAACAAAACCCGUUUGAAGCAAGGUGGUUAAGAGAAGAGAGCUUUAACACGACUGUGCGCGAGAGCCCUCAUCUAUGGUUGGGGCUGACCCUGGCGUCACAUCUAUCCAUAAGAUGUUGA